rnacentral:lncRNA from 1 species
UUAGAUCUUGCAUUUCUUUUAUUGUUGUAACCUUCAUUUUCCAAAUGGAUGGAAGGGCUUUGAGAAUUCUUCUGUUUUUCUCAUUUGUAGUGUACGUUUUUCCCAAUUGCUUUAACUCAUCAAUGAUUCUGGAAAAUCGAGUUUCCAUAUCAAUGAUUUUUUCUCUUUCUUCAAGCUUGAAACUUUCAUAUUCUUGAAUUAGAG